rnacentral:rRNA from 1 species
UACGAAGGGGGCUAGCGUUGCUCGGAAUCACUGGGCGUAAAGCGCACGUAGGCGGAUUUUUAAGUCAGGGGUGAAAUCCUGGAGCUCAACUCCAGAACUGCCUUUGAUACUGGGAAUCUCGAGUCCGGAAGAGGUGAGUGGAACUGCGAGUGUAGAGGUGAAAUUCGUAGAUAUUCGCAAGAACACCAGUGGCGAAGGCGGCUCACUGGUCCGAUACUGACGCUGAGGCACGAAAGCGUGGUGAGCAAACAGG